UAAACAAUCACAAGCAUUUCCUCUUAAGGAGGACUUCAGACAGGUGCCUGGCCAAGUAACAAGCCAGGUCUUCCAGACUACAUGGAGAAGAGACAUUAUACCUCAAUGCUCAAGCUAUCAAGUAACAGUAAAAGCAAGAGCAAGUUCACAAUGAACUAUAGCAACUAAGGUAUCUGAAAACAAUCCAACACAGUCAAUACACAACUCAAAAGGUCAAACAGACAGACUAAAAGUCAAC
rnacentral:lncRNA from 1 species